GUUAUUUUGGCAGAAUAGUGCGAUAGAUUUAGAAUCUAUAAAUGUAUAUUUAUUACAAAUAAUACUUGUGAUG
rnacentral:tRNA from 1 species